rnacentral:tRNA from 1 species
UCCCUGGUGGCUCAGAUGGUAAAGCGUCUGCCUACAAUGCAGGAGACCAGGGUUCAAUCCCCCUGUAGGGAA